rnacentral:rRNA from 1 species
AAACAUGUCUUUUUGAAUUGUAUUUAAAGUCUGACCUGCCCACUGAAUAGUUUUGAAUGGCCGCAGUAUUUUGACUGUGCAAAGGUAGCAUAAUCAUUAGUCUUUUAAUUGAAGGCUGGUAUGAACGGUUGGACGAAGUAUAAGCUGUUUCAUAUAAAUUUAUAAUAGAAUUUUAUAUUUUAGUUAAAAAGCUAAAAUUGUAUUAAAAGACGAGAAGACCCUAUAAAUCUUUAUAAUUAAUAUUAACUAAAUUUUUUUGAUUUGGUUUAUUUUUUUAAUAUUAAUUAUUUUGUUGGGGUGAUGUUAAAAUUUAAUGAACUUUUAAUUUUUUAAAAUCAUUAAUUUAUGAAUUAUUGAUCCAUUAAUAGUGAUUAUAAGAUUAAGUUACUUUAGGGAUAACAGCGUAAUUUUUUUUGAGAGUUCAUAUCGACAAAAAAGUUUGCGACCUCGAUGUUGGAUUAAGGUAUAAUUUUGGGUGUAGCCGUUCAAAAAUUAAGUCUGUUCGACUUUUAAAUCCUUACAUGAUC